GAGCGGAGAGGCCCUUCGGGGUACUCGAGCGGCGAACGGGUGAGUAACACGUGAGCAACCUGCCCUAGGCUUUGGGAUAACCCUCGGAAACGGGGGCUAAUACCGAAUAUGACCUGCUGUCGCAUGAUGGUGGGUGGAAAGUUUUUCGGCUUGGGAUGGGCUCGCGGCCUAUCAGCUUGUUGGUGGGGUGAUGGCCUACCAAGGCGACGACGGGUAGCCGGCCUGAGAGGGCGACCGGCCACACUGGGACUGAGACACGGCCCAGACUCCUACGGGAGGCAGCAGUGGGGAAUAUUGCACAAUGGGCGGAAGCCUGAUGCAGCGACGCCGCGUGAGGGAUGACGGCCUUCGGGUUGUAAACCUCUUUCAGCAGGGACGAAGCGCAAGUGACGGUACCUGCAGAAGAAGCGCCGGCCAACUACGUGCCAGCAGCCGCGGUAAGACGUAGGGCGCGAGCGUUGUCCGGAUUUAUUGGGCGUAAAGAGCUCGUAGGCGGCUUGUCGCGUCGACUGUGAAAACCCGUGGCUCAACUGCGGGCCUGCAGUCGAUACGGGCAGGCUAGAGUUCGGUAGGGGAGACUGGAAUUCCUGGUGUAGCGGUGAAAUGCGCAGAUAUCAGGAG
rnacentral:rRNA from 1 species